GUGACAUGUGCUUAUUUGUGAUUUGAACUUCAACAGACCCCACGCCUGUCGUUUAAACUGAUCACCUGAUCUGUGAUAUAAGGAGCUGGACCAGGACAAACAUCUCAGUGUCAGCACCACCAUGAGACUCGCCGCCUUGCUGCUCCCGCUGUGCCUGUGCUCUGCUGCGAUGGCUUUGCAAUCUCAAUCUCCAACCAACCCAGCAUUCAAGUUAUCUUCAGUACUUGGGGAGAUGUGCACCCAAAAGCUAAGCGGUAAGUAGAAGUGAGAUCUGCUGUGGAAAAAUUAAAGUCAGUGCCAUCCGUGAUCCAUCAGUCAUGUGGGAGACUAAAAAGGGAUUCACUCAAACAAUUCUAUCUCAUUCAACUCUCAAACAAGUCAAACCAAACUUGUCAUGUCAUGGACGUCACCUUGUGUUGUAUUUUCACAAACCUGAACCAUCAAAUCAGAAGUGGCAGAAGUAUAGAAAGUUUUUACGUAAAUGACAGUACAGAAAGCAAAUGGUAAAAACACUCGGCAC